rnacentral:rRNA from 1 species
GGAGUUAGCCGGUGCUUCUUCUGUGAGUGAUGUCCUUCCUGCCGGCUAUUAACCCGCAGGCCUUCUUCCUCACUGAAAGUGCUUUACAACCCGAAGGCCUUCUUCACACACGCGGCAUGGCUGGAUCAGGGUUGCCCCCAUUGUCCAAUAUUCCCCACUGCUGCCUCCCGUAGGAGUCUGGGCCGUGUCUCAGUCCCAGUGUGGCUGAUCAUCCUCUCAGACCAGCUACGGAUCGUCGCCUUGGUGAGCCGUUACCUCACCAACCAGCUAAUCCGACAUAGGCUCAUCCGAUAGCGCGAGGCCCGAAGGUCCCACGCUUUCCCCCGUAGGGCGUAUGCGGUAUUAGCCUGGGUUUCCCCAGGUUAUCCCCCACUACCGGGCAGAUUCCUAUGCAUUACUCACCCGUCCGCCGCUCGCCACCAGGGAGCAAGCUCCCCGUGCUGCCGCUCGACUUGCAUGUGUUAGGCCUGCCGCCAGCGUUCAAUCUGAGCCAGAAUCAAACUCUGA